UUUUCGGGCAUGAAAUAUUGGAAGCGGGAGAUGAACAUCGUCAGCAAGUUGACAUCCAUCUACGACCUGUAAAAGAAAGAACCGAAUUGAAAACGACAGUUAAUAAGAAAAUUCGUGAAUUAGUAGAGACUAAUCUAAAGAAGGCCUAUGACAAAAGCGCCAGAGCCUAUAAUCUCCGAUUUCGUAAACCUGCUCCCGAGUACCAAGUAGGCGAAAAGGUAUUCAAAAGGAAUUUUGCACUUUCAGAUGCUUCAGCAAGCCACAAUGCUAAAUUUGGUCCAAUGUACACCCCCUGCACUAUUAUUUCACGUCGCGGAACAAGUUCUUACGAGCUAGCCGAUGAAAAGGGAAGGAUUCUGGGAAUAUUCUCAUCGGCAGAUCUUAAGCCCGGUAUUCCGCAGUAGAGCGUAGAUAGACACGACAAUGCAAAAAGAAAAGCAAAUCAAAAAAAAUAUCACAUCUUACCGCAGCAAUCCCAAAACACAACCGCGUCUGUUUCAAUAGUCGCAUGAAAUGGACGAGUAAAACCGAUGCAUUGUUUUCAAUAGCUAAAAUGAGUGACGUUGAGUUCGAUGAGGCUUGAGUGUUGAGAAGUUUUCAAGAAGGUUUAAUUAUUUUUGUCUCUGUUUAUCAUCAACAUAAUUUUUAUAGCAUCUCUCUCAAUAGAUUCAAUAGUUUAAAUCGUCAGCAAAGCUCAAAUGGAAAUGGAAAGCGAAAGAGGAAUAGAAAUGAUCCAUGAAAUAAAAACUAGCAAUGACAAAUUCCAAAUCGCGGCGCGUAGGUGAUGACGUCUCACUUACCCUAUUUUCGGAUGAGUUCAUCUUUAGAUUACAUUACGAUUCCAAACUACAACACCAUAAACCUUUCUCUAGAAUUCAUCUCAUUUAACAUUCAUGAAACAGCAUUAUCGAUUAACACUCGGCAUGUCAGUAGUAAGAGUUUUCUUUCUUUCCGUAAGUCUUUUGAUUUGACUGGGUUAUUGGGAAAGAGGAAGAUCCAACAACUUUUACGCGUGGAUAAAUAAUCUCUCAUGCGUAUGAGAGUUCAUAUUUGCUAAUUUCGCGCAAGCAAGAUAUUGGUUGUUGAGCGCAUAGGGAUGCACAUAGAGUUCAAGUCUAUUCUGAGCGGAGAUUAAUUAGACGGAACUUAAGUUAAAAAAAUAUGAUUAUAUAUUCAUAUAAUAUAUUUUUUUAGGGGGAGUAUGGGGUAGUGUUACCGUUGCGAAAUUCAACUCGGUAAAGUUCUUCCAAAGUAAAUAGUUACUUGUUUAUUUUCUUAAAUUAUUUGUUUAUUGUUAAAUGUUAUUUAAUUAUUUCACUUAUUAUUUCAUCAGAGCAAGAUAGGUUUAGUUAAUAUAAAAUACAGGACUCACAAGAACACAACAUGUUAACACAGGUACACUGAAACAAAUACACAAAUUGCUGUACUAGAACGGGUAUAAAAGGAACGCACAAAUUAAAAAGGUAUUAGUCCAGAAGUUAAAAAAAAGUGGUAUAAUUGGCCCGAUGAGAGGAAAGCUACCAAAACUAACACUAAAAAAGAUCUCUUUCCGCUUUGACCGCCAAGACAGCUAGGUUGCGUAUCGAGAGGACUUAACCUUACAAUAUAACGGUUGAACUAUUAAAAGUUUAAUAUAAAAGUUCAUUAAAGUCCGACAGCGGAAAAAUACCAGUGCGCAAUUGAGAAGAGCGAAUCAGGACCCAAAACUUAGGAGCAUAUGCUUUAUGCCCUCCGGGACCAACAAGUAUCAGGAAGGUUCCAAUCUGGUACCGCGUUUCUGCAAUUUGGACCAUUUUGGCAGACAACCACCUCCCGUGAUACAGUAUCGAAUCCCGAAGGGAAUCCACCAUUUGGAAGGCUGAACGGAAUCCCAUAUCCGUUCCGGCCUGAGGAGCUGGCAAGGAAUUGGCAAAGUUACCGCCAAUUCUUGUCAACUGCCUAGCCACACCCCAAAUACCCGUAGCGUACCGAAGGAGUAACGUCAGCAGCAGCGAAGGCCGGCCCAACGAGACACACGCCACACACAACACACAAGGUAAUCAAAUAAAAACCGUAAAAAGCUAAA